rnacentral:rRNA from 1 species
UGCCGCGUGUGUGAAGAAGGUUCUUCGGAUUGUUAAAAGCCUACUUUCGACGGGGACGAUGAUGACGGUACCGUAGAAGAAGCCCCGGCUAACUUCGUGC